rnacentral:lncRNA from 1 species
CUCUCUCUCUCUCUCUCUCUCUCUCUCUCUCUCUCUCUCUCUCUCUCUCCUCCUCCUCCUCCACUGCACGGGAAGUGGAGAGAAGAAGGGCCUCGACGGUGGGUCUUAUAAAGAUGAGGUGACGUCUUCGGUGACGUUAUUGUGGCCCGAGCUAGGCCACAGCGGUGGUGGCUCCGGUGGCGGAGGAGAACCAGACGCCGCUGGAAGAAAGAUCGGCCAUAAAUGGAAGAUAUGGGCCGCGGAGCUCACCUUGGCGAAAACAGGACCACGGGCUCCAAGAACAGUAUUUUGUGGCCGGUGACCAAUCCCCUAAAUCCAUAACUGACUGUGC